GACGAACGCUGGCGGCGUGCCUAAUACAUGCAAGUAGAACGCACAGUUUAUACCGUAGCUUGCUACACCAUAGACUGUGAGUUGCGAACGGGUGAGUAACGCGUAGGUAACCUGCCUGGUAGCGGGGGUUAACUAUUGGAAACGAUAGCUAAUACCGCAUAAUAUUGAUUAUUGCAUGAUAAUUGAUUGAAAGAUGCUAUUGCAUCACUACCAGAUGGACCUGCGUUGUAUUAGCUAGUAGGUGAGGUAACGGCUCACCUAGGCGACGAUACAGAGCCGACCUGAGAGGGUGAUCGGCCACACUGGGACUGAGACACGGCCCAGACUCCUACGGGAGGCAGCAGUAGGGAAUCUUCGGCAAUGGACGAAAGUCUGACCGAGCAACGCCGCGUGAGUGAAGAAGGUUUUCGGAUCGUAAAGCUCUGUUGUAAGAGAAGAACGGGUGUGAGAGUGGAAAGUUCACACUGUGACGGUAUCUUACCAGAAAGGGACGGCUAACUACGUG
rnacentral:rRNA from 1 species